rnacentral:rRNA from 1 species
GACGAACGCUGGCGGCGUGCCUAAUACAUGCAAGUUGAGCGAUGAAGAUUGGUGCUUGCACCAAUUUGAAGAGCAGCGAACGGGUGAGUAACGCGUGGGGAAUCUGCCUUUGAGCGGGGGACAACAUUUGGAAACGAAUGCUAAUACCGCAUAAUAACUUUAAACAUAAGUUUUAAGUUUGAAAGAUGCAAUUGCAUCACUCAAAGAUGAUCCCGCGUUGUAUUAGCUAGUUGGUGAGGUAAAGGCUCACCAAGGCGAUGAUACAUAGCCGACCUGAGAGGGUGAUCGGCCACAUUGGGACUGAGACACGGCCCAAACUCCUACGGGAGGCAGCAGUAGGGAAUCUUCGGCAAUGGACGAAAGUCUGACCGAGCAACGCCGCGUGAGUGAAGAAGGUUUUCGGAUCGUAAAACUCUGUUGGUAGAGAAGGACGUUGGUGAGAGUGGAAAGCUCAUCAAGUGACGGUAACUACCCAGAAAGGGACGGCUAACUACGUG